rnacentral:rRNA from 1 species
AGGGCAUACGGCGGAUGCCUAGGCGCCAUCAGCCGAUGAAGGACGCGGUAAGCUGCGAAAAGCUACGGGGAACUGCAAGCAAGUAUUGAUCCGUAGAUGUCCGAAUGGGGAAACCCACCUGCCGUCAUGGGCAGGUAUCCGAAAGGAAGGGAACCCGGGGAACUGAAACAUCUAAGUACCCGGAGGAAGAGAAAUCAAACGAGAUGCCCACAGUAGCGGCGAGCGAAGAGGGCAGAGGGCAAACCGGGGAGCUACGGCUCUCCGGGGUUGAGGACUGCAUUUAGUCUCAAUGGUCUAUCCGAACUACCUGGAAAGGUAGGCAACACAGUGUAAAAGCCACGUAGGUUAAAGACCGGAGAGAUGAGCAGUAUCCAGAGUACCACGAGGCACGAGGAAUCUUGUGGGAAGCCGGGGGGACCACUCUCCAACCCUAAACACUGAAUGGCGACCGAUAGCGCAUAGUACCGUGAGGGAAAGGUGAAAAGAACCCCGGGAGGGGAGUGAAAGAGAACCUGAAACCGUAUGUCUACAAGCAGUCGGAGCGAAAGCGACGGCGUGCCUAUUGAAGAAUGAACCAACGAGUUACGUGCACUAGCGAGGUUAAGUGGAAGACACGGAGCCGAAGCGAAAGCGAGUCUUAAGAGGGCGGAUAGUUAGUGUACGUAGACCCGAAACCGCAGUGAUCUACCCAUGUCCAGGUUGAAGCGCAGGUAAAAUUGCGUGGAGGACCGAACCUGUGAGCGUUGAAAAGCUUUAGGAUGAGAUGUGGGUAGAGGUGAAAUUCCAAUCGAACGCGGAGAUAGCUGGUUCUCCCCGAAAUAGCUUUAGGGCUAGCCUCAAGUAGUAAGUAUAGGCGGUAGAGCACUGAUCGGGCUAGGGGCCAUAAAGGUUACCGAACCCUGUCAAACUCCGAAUGGUUAUACUGUAGAGCUUGGGAGUCAGACUACGAGUGAUAAGAUCCGUGGUCAAAAGGGAAACAGCCCAGACCACCAGCUAAGGUCCCCAAUGUCGUACUAAGUGGAAAAGGAUGUGGGGUCUCUAAAACAACCAGGAUGUUGGCUUAGAAGCAGCCACCAUUUAAAGAGUGCGUAAUAGCUCACUGGUCGAGAGACCCUGCGCCGAAGAUUACCGGGGCUAAAGUACGAAACCGAAGCUGUGGCUACGACUUAGGUCGUGGGGUAGGGGAGCGUUCUGUGAGGGCUGAAGUCGUUCUGUAAGGAACGGUGGACUUCACAGAAGUGAGAAUGUUGGUAUGAGUAGCGAAAAGAAUGGUGAGAAUCCAUUCCACCGAAAGCAUAAGGAUUCCUGGGCAACGAUCGUCGUCCCAGGGUAAGUCGGGACCUAAUCCGAGGCAUGGAGCGUAGGAGAUGGACAACUGGCAGAUAUUCCAGUACCGGUAAUGAUUGUUUGAGCGAUGGAGUGACACAGGAGGGCAGGCAGGCAGGAGAUUGGUUGUUCCUGUACAAGCGUGUAGGGUGGAACGUAGGCAAAUCCGCGUUCUGAGAGCCUGAGGCGUGAUGUGGAGGUUCUGGAAACGGAACUGAAGCUGCUGACCCCACACUGUCGAGAAAAGCUUCUAGUUAGAGAAUUACCGCCCGUACCGUAAACCGACACAGGUAUGCGGGGAGAGAAUCCUAAGGUGCGCGGGAGAACCCUCGUUAAGGAACUCGGCAAAAUGUACCCGUAACUUCGGGAUAAGGGUAGCCGCUGUUGUGAAGUCUGAACAGACGGAGCAUGAGGCGGUCGCAGAGAAGAGGCCCAAGCGACUGUUUACCACAAACACAGGUGCCUGCUAAAGAGAAAUCUGACGUAUAGGUGCUGACACCUGCCCAGUGCCGGAAGGUUAAGGAAGGAUGUCCGGAGCAAUCCAAAGCAUUCGACCGAAGCCCCGGUGAACGGCGGCCGUAACUAUAACGGUCCUAAGGUAGCGAAAUUCCUUGUCGGGUAAGUUCCGACCCGCACGAAAGGUGUAACGAUUUGGGCACUGUCUCAACGAGGGACCCGGUGAAAUUGAAGUACCUGUGAAGAUGCAGGUUACCCGCGACUGGACAGAAAGACCCCAUGGAGCUUUACUGUAACCUGACAUUGGGUUCUGAUACAUCACGUACAGGAUAGGUGGGAGGCAUGGAAGCGAGGACGCUAGUCUUCGUGGAGCCGCCGUUGGGAUACCACCCUUGAUGUAUCGGAAUUCUAACCGUAGGAGUAACGAAACUCGGGACAGUGUCAGGCGGGCAGUUUGACUGGGGCGGUCG